AAUGUAUAGCAAUAGCUACUUGCAUCAUUCUAAAUAUGAUGCAAGAUCGACUAUGUCGAAUAAAAUUCUAGGUAGAAUUAUGAUAAUGACAUUGUCUGCCUAUGUGUCUUGACCAAAUUACGUGCCAGCAGUCGCGGUAAUACGUAGAAGACUAGUGUUAUUCAUGUUUAAUCGGUUUAAAGGGUACCUAGACGGUAAAUCAAGCCUAAAAGGAAAUAAAUGAAGGGACUAAUUUACUAGAGUUACUUAUGAGGGGGUAUUAAAGUACUGCUGGUGUAGAGAUGAAAUUCUGUCAUACCUCUUUUCAAUAGAAAAAUAAUGGCACAGGUAUAGGCGAAAGCAUCCCCUUAUGUGAUAACUGACGUUGAGGGACGAAGGCUUUGUGUAGCGAACAGGAUUAGAUACCCCAGUAGUCAAAGCAGAAAAUGAUGAAUGUCAUAGAUUAGAUAUAUAAGUUUAUUCUAUAAAUGAAAGUGUAAGCAUUCCACCUCAAGAGUAAUUUGGCAACAUUGGAACUGAAAUCAUUAGACCGUUUCUGAAACCAGUAGUGAAGUAUGUUGUUUAAUUUGAUGAUCCGCAAAAAACCUUACCACAAUUUGAAUAUUUAUAUCUUUUGUUGUUUUUCUUUUUAACUUUCUUCUGAUUUUCUACUUAAAAGAAAACAAUAACAAGAAAAAAGAGGCAAUAAGAUAUAUUUACAAGCGUUGCACGGCUGUCUUCAGUUAAUGUCGCGAGACUCUGGUUAGUUCCAUUAAAUUAACGUAAACCCUUACUUUAUUUUUAUAUAGAGUAGUUCCCCGCUAUAUUGGAUAUGAUAACAGG
rnacentral:rRNA from 1 species